UACGUAGGGGGCAAGCGUUGUCCGGAUUUAUUGGGCGUAAAGAGCGUGUAGGCGGCCAGAAAAGUCCGCUGUGAAAACUCGAGGCUUAACCUCGAGCUGUCGGCGGAAACCAUCUGGCUAGAGUCCGGAAGAGGAGAAUGGAAUUCCGGGUGUAGCGGUGGAAUGCGUAGAGAUCCGGAAGAACACCGGUGGCGAAGGCGGUCUGCUGGGGUAAUGCUGACACUGAUGCGCGACAGCGUGGGGAGCAAACAGG
rnacentral:rRNA from 1 species